rnacentral:rRNA from 1 species
AACGAACGCUGGCGGCAUGCCUAACACAUGCAAGUCGAACGAGACCUUCGGGUCUAGUGGCGCACGGGUGCGUAACGCGUGGGAACCUGCCCUUAGGUUCAAUAACUCUCCGAAAGGGGUGCUAAUACCGGAUAAUGUCUUCGGACCAAAGAUUUAUCGCCUUUGGAUGGGCCCGCGUUGGAUUAGCUAGUUGGUAGGGUAAAAGCCUACCAAGGCGACGAUCCAUAGCUGGUCUGAGAGGAUGAUCAGCCACACUGGGACUGAGACACGGCCCAGACUCCUACGGGAGGCAGCAGUGGGGGAUAUUGGACAAUGGGCGAAAGCCUGAUCCAGCAAUGCCGCGUGAGUGAUGAAGGCCUUAGGGUUGGAAAGCUCUUGUACCCGGGAUGAUAAUGACAGUACCGGGAGAAUAAGCUCCGGCUAACUCCGUG